UCCCGAGUAGCUCAGUGGUAGAGCAAUCGGCUGUUAACCGAUCGGUCGUUCGUUCGAAUCGAACCUCGGGAGCCA
rnacentral:tRNA from 2 species